rnacentral:rRNA from 1 species
UACGUAGGGGGCGAGCGUUGUCCGGAAUCAUUGGGCGUAAAGCGCGUGUAGGCGGCUUGGUAAGUCCGGUGUGAAACCUUGGGGCUCAACCCCAAGCCUGCAUCGGAAACUGCCUCGCUCGAGUCCGGAAGAGGUGAGUGGAACUCCGAGUGUAGAGGUGAAAUUCGUAGAUAUUCGGAAGAACACCAGUGGCGAAGGCGGCUCACUGGUCCGGUACUGACGCUGAGGUGCGAAAGCGUGGGGAGCAAACAGG